GGAAGACGUCGGGCCGUUUGCAGACGUGAAACAGCAGUUCUCCAGUCUGCAAAGCAACCAGCAGCUCCCUCUGGAGAAGGAGGAUGUUGGGCAGUUUGCAGACUGAGAAGCCCAGCACCUCCCCCCCCCCCUUGGCUGCAACUUGCCUUGCAGCAGCCAAACAGAAGGAAUCAGGCUCCACGUGGAGCUGGCUUCGGUCCCUUUGAUCCUUUUGCCUCCCCUGUAAAGCAAGCAGUGGGAUUGGGGGGGAAGGGAGAAGGGAGAAGGGGGAAAGGAGCGAGGGAGGGUGGGGAGAAGCCAAGCCACUGUGACCCACUCACUGCCUUCCCAUUUUAUGAAAAUGUCAAUCCAGUGUGCAGUUGCUGGAAGAAAGAGGCACAUUCCAUGCUGAAGAUCAUUAAAGGAGAAAAAAAUCAGAAAUUAAACUCCCAACGUUAUAAUGCUGUUCUACAAAUGCAUGGUGUGAAAAUUACUGUGAUACUAUGUACUGUUCUGUAUACUGUUCUGCAGCUAGAAAACAAUCCAUCAAAAACACUAUACCUUUCAACAGACAAUCCUCACAGCAGGCUAAGAAUCACAAAGACCCUUGUCUACAUUGGUUCAAUACCCUGCACUGAUCAUGACAUUGCUUCUGGCUAUCUCCACAUGAUGGGUUAAAUUAGUUUAGCUUCUAUGCUAGAUAACAUAAGGGAAUAAUCUAGAGUUUGUGUGAAACUCUGGAGCAGUCCUGCACUUUGGGAACAGUAUGGACCACCUGACUGGGUCCAAUGCAGACUGAUCUGGUAUUCAUAUGGGAUGCCAGUGACACACCUUUUCCCUGUGGUUACCAGGGGACAGAUCAAGCUCAUGUCACCAUCAUCACUGC
rnacentral:lncRNA from 11 species